GUGCAAUUGAUAAUUUUAUAGAUGUAGGUAAUUAGAAUUUUUUCUAUACAUUAUUUUCAUGAUUUUCUUUUAUUAUUUGAUAUAAAUAUAAAAAUUGUAGCUUUAGAAAAGUGAUAUAAGAUAUAAUAUAGUAAAUUGCUAUACUAAAAUAAUUUAGAAUUUUGAGUUUUUUAUUUUGUUCUGGUUUUUUGGGAAAAUUCAAUUUGAUUUUAAGUUAUUAUACAUCAGCAAGCAGUUGUUUUAUAAAUUUACAUUGUGACGCUUGAAAAAUCAAGUAUAAAUGGUGAAAUUUGAAAAAAAAAUUAGUAGUGAGAUAAAACCUAUUGGAAAAUGAGGAACAACUUAACAAAAAUGGAAGUUAAAGUAAUUUAUAAGCAAUAUGAGGUGGAGAAGGACAAACAAAGGAAUAACUUAACUUCAAGGGUACCUCAAAGAUCUACAGAUGAAUUCAUUUGACGAACAGUUAAAAAAAUUGAGAAAAUAGACGCAGAUUUAAAUAAAAUAAAUUGUUUGUUAUACGAAAAUGCAAUCAUUGUUUAAGAGAAUGGAUUGAAGUUUCUUAAAAUAAACGUGAUUCCUUUCAUAAUUGGAAAACCGAUUUAUAUACGAAUUUGCAGUAAACUCAAUUUGACGAACGGCCAAUGAAAGUAUAUAAAGGUGAGCGAAUCUUUGAGCAAAUAAUCCACUUACUUUCACUUGGAAAAAUAAUAUAAUUCAGCUCUAAAUUGAUACUCGUACAUUAAUAAUGAACCAAAUUGUUUGUCAAUUACUUUAGCCGAGCCCGACGGGAUAUUAGACACAUUUUCCGACAUUAAAAUUUGAAAUGUGAGCGAAAUUGAGUGAAAUUAUGAAGAAAAAAAAAUGUUUUCAAUUCUCUGGUUUCGUAUACCAAAAAUCCGGAUAUAUGUCCUGUUUGACUUGAAGGAUCUGUUGUUACGCUAUAUCUCAUUCUCAUAUUUCACGAUGUUUUCCAACUGUAGUCGUGGAAAACGAUUUCCGCGUAAUUGCAAAAAAAUUGAGUCUACGAAAAACGAAAGGUAGCGCUUUUAUCAAUACAGUUCAAUGUGAAACUUGAAAUACUUUAACGUGUCCCAAUUCUCAUGUGCAUGGAUAUUUUCUAAAGUGGAAAAUGAAAUCUUCGAAGGAAACUGAAACAGAAUCAAUAUUUCAAAGGUAUUUUGAGAUGUACUUUUUAUUUGAGUGAGAGCUUCUUUUUCAUAAAGCGUCCUCCAACAAUAGUCUUCGAAAUAAGUUGAUUUCUAAAUAAAAUCAUCGAUGAACACAAAAAAAUUAACCUCAAACUGUUGAAGAAACAUUGAAAAUAAUAUUUAUGUAAUAAUACACGUUCAAUGGAAUAACUCAAGCCGUAAUUCCAAAAAAUUUCGACUAAAAACAACGUAAUAAAUCUCAUUUUUUUUUGAAGCGGCAUUAAUUAUCAUUAGGUUUUUAAAUUUGGAAAAUGUGCCCGCAGGAUGGCGAUUUUAAGAAAAUUAAAAACGCCGGUCACAUAUGUUGCAAAAUUUUAAAUUCAGCUCAUACGUUUGCUAUUUAAUCUUACAAAGGGCGUGUUGAACGUUAAACCUACACGAAGUGUAGAGAAGUGAAGGGAAUACCCUUUGUUCGCUGACGUAGAAAAUGAAACAGUUACUGAACCACCUACAGGUACACACAAAAAGAAAUUGAGAUUAGAAUAAUAUUAACAUUAUGCAAAUUAUAUGGCAGUUUUACCAAGGAAAAUUUCUUACGAAUACGUGGUGAUGUUUUGAGACGCCAUUUUACAUUUUUAGGUUAUUUUUGACAGAAAUAAAGGCUAGAUGUAUUUGUAGGAUAUGUUCUAUGUAUAAAAAAUUCAUUUCUAAUCGUUCCCAUAUCUAUUCUUGUUUUUCCAAUUUCAUUUUUAUCGCACCUGCAGCAGCUGCAUGAUUAGGGCUUCUUCUCCUUCUCAUGCCGUCUUCUCAUUGAAGCUUAGCGACCCUGCAUUAUGUUUUGUAGCACUAGGUAUUUGUCAUUUCGUAAGAUAUUUUUCUUAAUCUUAAUAAUUAUCUUUUUGUAACCAAUGCGUCUUAGUACUUCGUCGUUGGUGAUUCUAUCAGUCCGGGGUAUCUUCAGGAUGCGUCUAUAGAUCCACAUCUCAAGUUUUUUGAUCAUUUGAGCUUUCAAGGUCCAAUUUUCCACUCAUUACAGCAGUACUGACUACACAAAACAUUCCAUGAAUCCUAUUCUCACGUGGAGGUUUAGAUUUCUGCUUAAUAAUUGUAAACAGCUUUCUUUAGCGACCAAUAAGUCUUGGUCCUUCAUCGUUGGUUAUUCUGUGAGUCCAGGGUAUCUUCAGGAUGAGUCUAAAAAACCACAUCAAGUUUUUUGAUCAUUUGAGCUUUCAAAGUCCAAUUUUCCACUCAUUACAGCAGUACUGACUACACAUAACAUUCCAUGAAUCCUAUUCUGACGUGGAGGUUUAGAUUUCUGUUUAAUAAUUGUAAACAGCUUUCUUCAGCGACUAAUGCGUCUUGGUACUUCGUCGUUGUUGAUUCUAUCAGUCCGGGGUAUCUUCAGGAUGCGUCUAUAGAUCCACAUCUCAAGUUUUUUGAUAAUUUGAGCUUUUAAUGUCGAAAUUUCCACUUUGUACAGCAGUACUGACUACACAUAACAUUCCAUGAAUCCUAUUUUGACGUGGAGGUUUAGAUUUCUGUUUAAUAAUUGUAAACAGCUUUCUUUAGCGACCAAUAAGUCUUGGUCCUUCAUCGUUGGUUAUUCUGUGAGUCCAGGGUAUCUUCAGGAUGAGUCUAUAGAACCACAUCUCAAGUUUUUUUGAUCAUUUGAGCUUUCAAGGUCCACUCUGUACAGCAGUACUGACCACACAUAACAUUCCAUGAAUCCCUAUUUUGACGUGGAGGUUUAGAUUUCUGUUUGCAAACUUUAAGUUCAAUUCUGAUCUUCAUUUCAUCGUCUGGAUCCAUGAUACUUAUAUUUUCGGACCCUUUCUAUGUGUUAUAAUGAUAUUUUGGUUUUUACUUUUUGGUUGAUUCUGAUUGGGGCAAUGGAGAAAAAACAAUAAACUACCAAAGGUUAUACCAGCACCAAGGACUACAUUCCGAACAACCUAGAACCUGGAGUUCCUCGGAUACGUUUUCUUCAUCUUCUUUAAUAUAUUAAUAAUAUAAAUUUAGAUUUUAUCACUGAUUUGCAUUUAUUGUAUUUUCUUGAGAAAGCAGUUUUUCUAGCUCAAAUACUUUAUUGUUUAUUCAAAUUUCAUUCACAUAAAAAUCUGGUGAUGCCAGAUUCAAUAUUAAUUGUUCAAUCCAUCUAAGUACUACUUAUAUAUACUUUAAGUAACAACGAAUUAUUUUACUUGACGAAGAGACUUUAGUCUGGGAUUUAGAAGUUCUAAUAUCAUCUAUCAUACCAAUUAGACAAUUAGUAAUUGUCUACAAAACUAGUAAAAAAACUUUUCCACCAGGUCUUGAGUUAUGUAUUAUAAAUAUUAGUUUUUAUGGUUUAGUUUCUUUAAAAAAAAAAUCCUUCGUGUUAUCAGUAUUGGCUUCGAGACAAUCUACGAGUUCAGACGAAACGUGCAAAAAUUCUAAUGUACCAGAAACUUUGUCAAAGAUUUGGAAAAAACCAGAAACAUAACCAAGACAAAAAAGAUCUACGAGAUAAAUUAAUAAGCAUUUUCUCAAAUAGAACGUAUUAAGAUAAUCAACUCGUAAGUAGCAGUGUAUCGAAUUAAACACUAUUGGUAAAAGACAGUGAUUUUUACAGAAUUGUGGGCUUAGAAUCUCCAGAGUUAGGAACACGAAUAAUACAACGAUGUAUCAAUAUUCGUACCUCUCUCAGUUACAAGCGUAGAUUUCUCUAUGUUUUGUCUCGUUCGCUCUGAAAUAACAUACAAACGAAGCAGUUGCUUCGGUCACCUUGAAACGAAGGCGUUAAUUAAAGCUACGUUAAAACAGUAAAAACAGUAUGUGUUGAGGAAAUUUUCUUGUAUUGGAAUUGAAUUUCGGGUUCGAAAUCAACUUAUCAGUAUCUUAUCGAAUAACAUCAGCUUCCGAAAAUAGUUUUAUAUAAUAUCCAAAUAAAAUUCCGUGUUCCAAUGUAAGUGGAGGAAUUUUAUUAUUGAGAAACCGGCGCGGCGUAUCCAAUGUCUAAGAAAGGCGCAUUUAAUGUUGUUGGGUUAUUUCCUCAGGGACAUGAAGCUGCUAUAAAGCAUUCAAUAACUAUUUCAGUAUUUUGAAAGUUUCUACAACAUCGAGGAGUGCGUUGUAUUUCGAAAAUUGUUUUUUGAAAUCUAAAAAUUUUCUAUUGAAUGUUAGAAACGUUUCAACAUAAUCAAGGUAUGAAAAAUUCCUUCCAGAAACGAUUCUGAAAAGUUUCCGGGCCCAUUAAUAUAGAAAAUAGGUUAGAGGUAACCUUAUAUUUCAGCAUCGUUAAUAUCUGCUCUAUCGCCACUUGAUAUCUAUUAAGCCGAAUUCAAUUACAGCUUAUUGAGUUAUUUUAUACUCUUCCAAAGAAAGAAAUUUUGACUCCUGAAAACUUUCAAUUGAUUAUGAAUAACUUCGUUGUAAUCUCAGGUUUGUUUUCAAAAUUACGUUUGAUAAGUAGCAGUAAAGUAAAAGUUGAUUUUAGAAAAUCAAUUUGAAGUAUCGAAUGCUUAGUUUCAAACUAUCCACCGUGUAUAUAGGAGUAAAGAUGUAGCUUCAUUACUGGUAAUGCUUGAAGCUCACCAAAAUACGUAUUUAUAGUGUCACUAUUUGAGGUUUUAGUCGCCUCAAAUUCCGAUGGAUGUUUAGGAAAGUUAUUCGCUUUGACGAAAUGGAAACACCUACACGGUCAUCGAAUCGGAAAAUAAUUACUGAUGGAAUUCCGGCAUUUACUGAAAGAGCUUUUAGUAUACAGUGAUGAAUGAAAAUGUGUUUUAUUUUUAAAUUAAUCGAUUCAUUUCAAUCGGAAGCUGAUUAGACGUAUGUUAUUAUCAGUUUGUUAUUAGUUAUAAAGAUAUUUCAAGAGAAAUUAUGAAGUAACUGAAAACGAGUGUUCAAAAUCUAGAUAUUUAGUUAGUUCUUUCGGGGAGUUAAAUAUUCUGAAACCGGAAUUCAGAAGAAUAUUGAAACACCUUGGAUUGAUUACAAAAACAGCAGACGAUAGGAAGAAAGUUGGAGGCAGUUGACAAAAUUACAAAAAGAAAUAACGAACUCGAUUAUAUUAAUCCACAAGAAUACCCAGCGAAAAAUAAAGGAAAUUGUUAAUGGUAAAAUUGAGAUGAAUCGAUUUCGGAAUUUGCCUGGCAACAUUUAUUGGACGAUGGUGCUACUUCAGAUCGAUUCCGAGAAGAUUGAACGCCUGGAAUGCAACAGUGUUUCCCGCAAAUAUAUCAGAUAUGAAAAGGACAACCUACAACCGAAAGUUUGGAAAAAUUGCUAUUAGAAACCAUGGUCUUGUUUAGUAUUAAUACUACAAUGUACACUCCUGUUCAUUGAAAUAGUAUUUGGACAGAUUUUUGCAAUUUUUUAAUUACUUAUUGAAUUAUCUGUUACUGACAGUGACGGUGUCAUUAGAUAGGAAGUCUGAGUGCAACAAACAGAAAUGUGAUUGAUGUUUGAAUGUUAGUAAGUCUGGUAAACAUGUAGCUUGUGAUUUUUUCCGGUUAGAACUUGUGAACUGUUGAAUUACGCAUAUUUAAAGUGUUGUAGAUCUACGAAACUAUUGUACAGCUGUGUAUAGUGUAGUGUAUAGUGUAUAGUGAUAAAUCUUGAUUUCUGCUAAUAAAAUACGUAAAAUAAAAAAAAUAAA